AAGAUUUUGUUGAUUUACUUUUUAGUUUUCUCACCAUUCCACUUGGGUAUUUGAUGAAUGAAAUGCAUGGUGGACAAUCAAAAGGAAGCAUCCACCACCUAUAUGACAGUGUCAUUGAUCUCGAUGCUACGAAAUACCUGAAGUCGAAUGACAUUAAAGAGAUUCUUCUAAAUCCUAAGAUUGCACCUGGUUCUGGCUAUAAGAACCAGCCACUAGGUGUUAAGGAAGCUGUUGAUAACCAGCAGUACUACUAUGAUUGGAAUUCUUCCAAUUCCACUAAGAACUGAAAGCAAAAGUCUCGUUCUACACUCCCACUUUUAACUAUGAUGGAUCCCAAAUCACCCUACAAAGAGGGCACAGAAGGUGAUGGAUUUUUGCUAGAUCCUGCAAUGUUCACCGUAAGUGACGAUCUUGUUGUUACACCAAUAUCGCCUGUCUCAGAACUAUCUUUACUGGAAAAAUUGAAGAUACCUUUAAUGACAUCUAUGUCUGCGAGGUUCAAGUUGGCAGAGAAGAGGUAAGUCAAACUAACUAAUUUCUGCACUCUCUUAUUAGCCAUGAUAUUUAAUUAAUUAUAAAGCUCUUAAGAAAAAUCAUGCCUGUCAACUUCAUGCUUAUGUCUUUGUUAAUUUUGUCUUCAGAACUGUAAGUUUAUUUAUUUUUUAUUCUAUUUAUUCAACCAACAGAUUUAUAGGAUAGAAGUGGCAUAAAAACUAUUUUACCUGUUCUUCUAAGAUCCUUUUUUGUUAAUGGCAUUUGUUAAAAUUCGCAUCAUAUAUAACAGUCUUCAAACAGGAAUAUUGGUUUGAUGGGCAUUUUUUUUUCUGCUGCAGGCUUCCCGUCUUUUAGCAGCUUCUUUUGUAUCUGAAUCUGCUCUUACUGAUACCUUCCUACGUAAGAUGCCAAAAGAUGCCUUAAUUUCUGAUGUUCUGAAAGAAUAAUCUUGAGGACAUCUGUGUGCUUAAUUGAUCAAGUAUAUUUUCUGGUCAUCUUGAACCUGGUUUUUUAUUGAUGUGAUAGAUAGUCUGUCAUGUGUGGGAGAUUUGUUGAUCCUCAAGACUUUCAUGUAAGUCGAAUUAAGGUGCUGCUUUUGCUUCAUAAUUACAGUUUCAGACAAGAUUAAUUUGACUCCAAAUUGGUAGGCAGAGAGUAUCUUGAACCGCACCGAAUAAAACUCUCACUUGGUGGCAAAGCAUACACUAGAAAUUAUGCCUUCCCGAGGAAACACAGUUUUUUUAAAAGUUCUAAAUAUCUAUUCAGCGUUCCUGCUAUCUCCUUCUGCAAUCUAUGAUGAAGUCUCAAACAGUAUUUUAAGUUGGUCUGGACUAUUUUGUAUGCUUUUCAUAACGAAUCAUUAAUUAAUUGAAUGGCAGCAUCAUGAAAUGUAAUCAUCAGGGGUGACUUGGCCCACCUCCUCGACUAUAGAUUCGAAAUGGGAGUUGUUUUAACAUUCAAUUCCCAGCAAAUUUCGUGGCAGGAACGUCUCGUGCAUGGCAGCUUCUUUUAUCUCUGAAUUGGAGGGCAGUAAAUAACAAAUGCCUUCAACCAUAAGAACCGGAAACAUAACUAUAUAUGCAUGUGGAAAUCCACAACAUCAAUGCCUUGGUACUUCAGUGUAUGUAAAACAUAUUUGGUGAUAAAUCGAAACAGAAACUUUCAGAUCAGAUAACCUGAAUCUCUUACUUGGAAAUUGUUUAAAAUUCCAUUUAAAUUGCAAGGCAAUGUUAUCUCCUCCAACUUGUCAUUUCCUAUUCUUAAUAAAUUUCUAGUUCAUUUACUGAGCACAAUUAGGUUUUUGAUAAGAAGGAAUUUCAAAACUGGAAAAUAAUCUGUGUUUUUCUGCCGUUUUUUAAAAACUUCACAGCCAAUACUGUGUAGUUAUUGUCCUGAAACUUCUCUGUAGUGCUACAGCCAGAAGGCCCAAAACACAAGAUAUAUUAUCUCUUCCCUUUCUAGUUAUUGUUGUCAACAAUACGAAGCUAUAACCCAAGCCUCAGGGGCUGGAAUCUUUACAUUGCUGCCAUACCAUUCAUUUACUUGUACCACUACCUGAGACAGAGAAUGCAGAAUGCAUGGGAUAUCGAGUUGUCUGUGUUAUAAGUACAUGGUCUUAUGACAGUCCGAAUAUAACUACUAUAUGGAUUUCUCUGUUUCAGUGAUUGAUCUCCCCAGAACAUCAUUGUGCUGCACGCUUCACAUCUUUGGUAGCUUCCUUUAUCGAUCUGCGAAAAACCCUUGGCCAAUAUUCCUUCAUCAGCAAAAACUUGAGAAUAGUUUUCAUUGGUGAUGGUUUUGGUUUUUUGUUUCUUGUGUGUGUGUGCAAAAUUUGGAAGCUAUGAGCAUAGGUACGUGAUUAAGAAUAGUAUAUUUAAGAUGUUGAAUGAAUAACCAUGGUAGAUGAGUCUAGUAAACAUAUCAUUAUACAAUAUAUUUCUAGUGGCUCAAUUUACACGUUCUCAUUGCAUAUACAUGCGCCAAGGUCUAGUGGAAAAUCCAGGGAAAUGAAUCUGCCUUUUCAGGUCUCGAGUAAAUAAUGUCUCUGGUCCUAGUCUAUAAAGAAGGCUGUUCACCAUGGAUCUUUCUCCAAGGCUGUUUCUGCUUUCAGGUUUCGAAUUUUGGUACGAUGCAUGACAAUUAAAGUAAGAAGCAAUUAGAUAAAGGAUUUCUGUCUUUAAAUUCCUGUUCCAUUCUUGAGGAUUGUAAAUGUUGGGGAAAUAGAAAGUACUAUUAAACAUUAAUUCGCAAUUAUGACUGAUAUUAUGAUUCCCCCAAUUCAUAGCAUGACCCUAGCUGUUAGAACAAUCUAUAGGUGUUUUUGUUGCAGGCUUCACGUCUCUUGGCAGCUUCUUUGAUUUCUGAAUCUGCUUUAACCGAUACCGUCAUCAUCCGUAAAGAGCCAAAAGAUACCUUCAUCUGCAAAGUUCCAAACCAAGAAUACUGAGAACAUCUUCGUUUGCGUUAUUGACUAUCUAGUAUAGGCAUUUGUUCAAUUCGGAACUAUAAUCCUGCCUUUGCUUAUAAUUCCUGAAUGAAUACAGUUGAAGAAUGGUUCUCUGUUGCAGGAAAAUGCAACUCAAAGGGUCUCCAUUUCAAACUAGGUCUGAAAUAUACAACAACACAUUUUUCAGGGAAUGAUAUUUUUCAUAAUUGAAAUUUGCGCAGAGUAUGAACUAAGCCUCUUCAGGGCCCAAAUCAAGGUAUCCAUUCCGAAUCUCAGGCCAAAACAGAAGAAUAUUUUGACUUCAUAUUGGAUGCGAGCUGGGGUGGCUGAAUUCUCGAUCAUAACGAGAAGUUAAAAAAUCAAAUAGUUGCACACUUUGGAACACACAAGGAACAAACCAGUUUGAGGAAGGAUUGAAGCAGGUGCUAGAUUGAUACACAGUAGUAGUGUGUGUCAGCUUCUGGAAUUUGUCUAUUUUUGUGCUUCUGGUAAUGAAAUUGAACUGCACGGUGAAAUGGUUUCUCUGCAGCACCACCUGUAAUCAUCAUGUUCACCUGUAAUCAUCCAUGCCAUUCAAGCAACUACAGGAUGCAAAAUGGUCGCUCCGCCUUUUGAUCUCCUGUAUUUUAAUUUCUGGCGUUGAGGGCUUCAUAUCUCUGAAUUGGAAGUGAGUCACUAAGCAAUGCUUCACCCGUACAAACCUGAAACAAGAACUUUAGAUCUUACAAGUUAACUGUUUUUUUUUUUUUAACUCGAGUUUUUUUUUUUUUAUGAUUUAACUUUGGGUUUUGUUUUUGUUUUUUUUUAAUUAAUUGUUUUAUUUUGGUCUCAUAUUACGUGUUAGUGGUUAGUUAAGAUAACCCGGAUUAACUUGCGUUUUUUUCCCAACGUAUCCUUUCUUGAAGUUGAUGUUUUUUUUUUCCUUUCAUUUUUAUCUUUUAGGAUUUAGUUAUUAGGCUCUUUGUGAAUUUUUUUGCUUUUUUUUUUUAUGUGGAAUUACCAUAAGUUGCAGGUUAGUCAAGUUAACUCAAGUAAAAUUUAGUUUUUUAUUUUAUUUUAUUUUUUAUUUUUUAUUUUUUAUCUUACGUCUUUUUUUUCUAGGCCUUUUAAAAAAAUAGUUUUUUUUUCAUAUUGUGGAUCGUGUGGUAGUCGAGUUAACUUGGUUUUUUUAUGUUUAUAUUUUUUUAAAUUAUUAUUUUUUAUUUCAUCCUUUAACAUUACAUUAUUGGGCCUUGAGCUUUGUGAUUCUUUUCGCUUUUAUUUUUGUUGGGUUAUCCCGAAUCACAAGUUAAUCAAGUUAAUCGGGUUGACUUGACUUUUUUUUCAAUGUUUUUUUAUUGAUUUAACUUCAGUCUUUCUAAAAGCAUUUUUUUUAUCUCGGAAUUGCAUAAAGGGUGGUAGAUUUGUCAAGUUAACCAAGUUGACUUAAGUUCUUAUCCAUCGGUUAGAUAACUUUUUUUUAUAUUGGAAAAACAUUAACUCAACUUGUAGGGUAGCAUGAGCCACCCAUCUAGUAUAAAACUAAAGAAAGAGAGGGUUUCAUUGUAUUCCUCCUGGCAUAAGACUAUUCACUUUAAUAUUGUUUUUUUUUUUACUUUCAUAGUUUUUCCUUUUGAUCUAUAUUUUUUUUCAUUUUCAAUUUCAUCAUUUAAUGUUAGGUUUAUCGUGGAUUAUGCUUCAUAUUUUAUUUUAAUUUACUUUUUAUGAGAUUAUCCUAAAUUUAUGACUCGAAUUGCAAGUUUGAUAUAGUAACUCAUUUGACUCAAAUUUUUUUCCUAUUUUCCUAGGAUUUUUUUUUUUUAUCUUAAAUUUGUCUUUCAAAACUAGGUUGAUUGGGAAUUAGGAUUCGUUAUUUAUUUUGUUCCACUUUCUAUGAGGUUAUCCUCAUUUUAUAACUUGGGUCACGGGUUUAGCAGGUUAACCUUGGUUGACCUGAGUUAUUUUUUGUGUUUUUUUUUAAUUGAUUUUUUUUCAAUUUCAUCUUUUAAUAUUGAGUUGAUUUAAAAUUGAACUCAAUAAUUUAUUUUGAUUUGCUUUCUAUUAUGUUAUCCUGGUUCAUGACGUGAGUCACAGGUUUGUCAGGUUAACCAAAGUUCACCCAAAUCAUUUUUUUUAUUUUUUAAUUAAUUGUUUUUAAGUUUCAUCCUUUAAUAUUGAGUUUAUUGAAAAUUAAACUUUCUAAUUUGUUUUGAUUUAUUGUUCAUGGUGUUAUCAUGAUCUCAUGACUUAGUAUAUGAGUUGAUAGGUUAACUCGAGAUGACUCGAAUCGAUUUAAUAUAUUGUUCUCUCGAUGUUUAUUAAAAACAUAUCACUUUAAAUAUUUAUUUUGAAUCAAAUUAUAUUUUUAUCGGUUUUUUGAAUUGUAUUUAGACUCGUCAAGACGACCAAGUCACUUUAGAUCAAUCUCCAAACAAUUUUUUUUUUGCUACUAGAAAAAAUUUAAUCUGACUCGCAGUGUAAAGCAGGGCAAUUAUCUAGUAAUAUUUAAAAUACAUCCUUAAUUAAUCUAAUCUAAGAAAAAAAAUAUAUUUUUUAAUAUACUAAAUAUAUUUUAAAUAAUUUUAUCUUCAACAAGUUAGAUAUAAGGUGUUGGAAAAAGAUUUUUUUUUUAAAAAAAAAAAGAAAAGAAAAAGGCCAAGGGAGCAAACGAGCAUGGAAGAUUGAGCAUGUCAAUGCCAUGAAAAAAAAAAAUGGCGCAUGGGCUUUGCCAAUACAAGCUUGUGUGUUUGAUUUUUUUUAUUUUUUUGGAGUUGACAAGGUCAAAUUUAUGUUAUUUUUAAAGGAUGCAAUCAUGUUGUCUAAAGGUCAAAUUCAGGUUAUGCAAGGUGAUUUAAAAAAACAUGGGAGAUUUUUUUUAUAUAAAAAAACUUAAUUUUUCAUUCAUUUUUAUUUGAAAAUACCUUAAAAAACAUUCUUUAAACCUUAAAUAAUUAAUUCCUCAAUUCAAGAUUUCUCAAAUUGAUUUAAAAACACAAAAUUAAAUGAAACAUAAAAAACCUCAGACAACCCUAAUUUAUUUUUUUUAGGUGAUAAGAAAACACUACAAUGAAACCCCCUUGCAAGUGAAAAAUUUUAGUUUUCUCACCAUUCCACUUGGGUAUUUGAUGAAUGAAAAGCAUGGUGGACAAUCAAAAGGAAGCAUCCACCACCUAUAUGACAGUGUCAUUGAUCUCGAUGCUACGAAAUACCUGAAGUCGAAUGACAUUAAAGAGAUUCUUCUAAAUCCUAAGAUUGCACCUGGUUCUGGCUAUAAGAACCAGCCACUAGGUGUUAAGGAAGCUGUUGAUAACCAGCAGUACUACUAUGAUUGGAAUUCUUCCAAUCCACUAAGAACUGAAAACAAAAGUCCUCGCGGUCAAAUGAUUGGAAUUCUUCCAAUCCCACUUUUAACUAUGAUGGAUCCCAAAUCACCCUUCGAAGAGGGUACAGGAGGUGGUGGAUUUUUGCUAGAUCCUGCAAUGUUCACAGUAAGUGACGAUCUUGUUGUUACACCAAUAUCGCCUGUCUCAGAACUAUCUUUACUGGAAAAAUUGAAGAUAUCUUUUAAUGACAUCUAUGUCUGCGAGGUUCAAGUUGGCAGAGAAGAGGUCAGUCAAACUAACUAAUUUCUGCACUCUUUUAUUAUCCAUGAUAUUUAAUAUUUAAUUAUAAAGCUUUUAAGAAAAAUCAUGCCUGUCAACUUCAUGCUUAUGUCUUAGUUAAUUUUGUCUUGAUCAGAACUGUAAGAUUAUUUAUUUUUUAUUCUAUUUAUUCAACCAAACAGAUUUAUAGGAUAGAAGUGGCAUAAAAACUAUUUUACCUGUUCUUCUAAGAUCCUUUUUUUGUUAAUGUCAUUUGUUAAAAUUCGCAUCAUAUAUAACAGUCUUCAAACAGGAAUAUUGGUGUGAUGGACAUUUUCUUUUUCUGCUGCAGGCUUCCCGUCUCUUAGCAGCUUCUUUUGUAUCUGAAUCUGCUCUUACUGAUACCUUCAUACGUAAGAUGCCAAAAGAUGCCUUAAUUUCCGAUGUUCUGAAAGAAUAAUCUUGAGGACAUCUGUGUGCUUAAUUUAUCAAGUAUAUUUUCUGGUCAUCUUGAACCUGGUUUUUUAUUAAUGUGAUAGAUAGUCUGUCAUGUGUGGGAGAAUUAUUGAUUCUCAAGACUUUCAUGUAAGUCGAAUUAAGGUGCUGCUUUUGCUUCAUAAUUGCCUGGAAACACAAUUUAGAAAGGGCUUACAGUUUCAGACAAGAUUAAUUUGACUCCAAAUUGGUAGGCAGAGAGUAUCUGAACCACACCGAAUAAAACUCUCACUUGGUGGCAAAGCAUGCUAAUUUCUUGUUUGUAACGUCUCGUGCAUGUUGCUUCUUUUAUCUCUGAAUUGGAGGUCAGUCAAUAACAAAUGCCUUCAGCCAUAAAAAACUGGAAACGAGAAUACUUGGAUCUUCAUAGAUAUUCUCCCCUUUUCUUCUUUUUUCCGAUGAAUGAGUAAAAGGAGUCUUAUAAGCAAAACUAAACUGUACCUGUGGAAAUCUACAACAUCGAUGCCUUGGUACUUCAGUGUAUGUAAAACAUAUUUGGUGAUAAAUGGAAACAGAAACUUUCAGAUCAGAUAACCUGAAUCUCUUACUUGGAAAUUGUUUAAAAUUCUGAAGAAUUUUGAAGCAGAGAAGAGACGUGAGACAAUGCAGUAAAACAGAGUUCUGCAUUAUAUUUUCUUAUGCUGUACAUAUGCAUAUAUAUUUAUAUAUAUAUAAAAGGAAAAACUUGCAGCAAGGAAAGACAAUCCUGCGUAUCCUUUCUCCUAACAGUAUGCUAAUAUUAUAUGUUAAUAAUAAAUACACAAUCAUAUCUAAACUAGGUGACAAAUAAGUUAUACUUGGUAAUAGCAUAAUAAUGAAGAUCUUCAUCGCUUCAGUAUCUUCAAUACCCCCCUCAAUCUGGAUCCAGUGGAUUGGUGGAUCCAAGCUUGCUUAAUAACCGAUGAAAUUGAGUGGAAGGUAAGGCUUUGGUAAGCACAUCAGCUAGUUGAUCAUGAGAUCAUACAUACUGAGGAUGGAUAAGUUUAGCUUGAACUUGCUAAUGAAUGUAAUGACAAUCUACUUCAAUAAUCUGUGUUUUUCUACUGUUUUUGAAAAACUUCGCAGCCAAUACUGUCUAGUUAUUGUCCUGAAACUUCUCUGUAGUGCUACAGCCAGAACACAAGAUAUAUUAUCUCUUCCCUUUCUAGUUAUUGUUGUCAACAAUACGAAGCUAUAACCCAAGCCCAGGGGCUAGAAACUUUACAUUGCUGCCAUACCAUUCAUUUACUUGUACCACUGCCUCAGACAGAGAAUGCAGAAUGCAUGGGGUAUCGAGUUGUCUGUGUUAUAAGUACAUGGUUUUAUGACAAUCCGAAUAUAACUACGAUAUGGAUUUCUCUGUUUCAGUGAUUGAUCUCCCCAGAACAUCAUUGUGUUGCACGCUUCACAUCUUUGGUAGCUUCCUUUAUCGAUAUGCGAAUAACCCUUAGCCAAUAUUCCUUCAUCAGCAAAAACUUGAGAAUAUUGCCGGACUGCUAUAGUGUCCACACCAUCAUCAAAGCUCAUGACUUUCACUAGCCUGCAUUCCACCACCACCACUUGUUUAUCUAUACGGCAAAGUAAGAAGAAUCUGUGUAUUUCUUUAACGUGUUAAGACUGAUAAGGAUGUACAUGUUUCUGUGAUAAGUAUAUCCAAUUCCUCUAGUUUAUCCCUUUUUCUUUUUCCUGUCUACUUCUGCGGGCUUUCCGUCUUAUGGGAACAAUCAUCCAUCUCAUCAGUAAUCUGUCACCGACAAAUGGGAUUGGUUGCAUGAACAACUUAUAUAAAAGUGUUGAAAAUACAGAUGCUAUGUAUUUCCGGAACAUCCUCAUAAUGCCGCUGCAGCUUAUUGUAAGAGCCUAAAACUGAAAAUUGAUGACAUUGACACUUCAAGUUUUUUUUGUUGCUAGAGUUCCGAAUGUUCUACUUCUGGCUACAAGUUGUGGAGUCAUUACAAAAAUCUCUAUUGUGGUUGUGGACGUCCCAUGAGCCAUAAUUUGAAUCUAUCAUGGCGCCGGGCUCCAUCCAAUAAUGGAUCUGACGCAAGAAAUCGAGGGGUGUUUGUUGAAGGGCUGACCCGAUUUAUUGUAAGUGAUUAUUUUCAAGUGAUGCCAGCAUCAAUUUCAGCAAGCAUUGCUCUUCUUACAAAGCUUGGAGUCAUGGAUACAAGUAACAUCGAGGAGAGGAUUUUUGACAUUGGAGUAACACAGGUAUGAUCUAAUAAAUGAGCUGUUGUAGUAUUGUCUAGCCUUGUGCUAUGUACAGAAGUACCAAUUUUAAUGUCUUUGUUUUAGGACUUGGAAUUGCUGGAGUGCUCAUUGGCAUCAAGGACACCUCUGACCGAAGUUUUGCUUUCUCGUAAGGAAGUUCCUAAGUUAAGAAAUGCAGAUUCCCUUCUAAGAACCUCUCUUAUGCAUGAAAUACUAGAGCAUCAAUCAGAAAGAAAUGGUGAGACGUCUGUUAGGCUUGUGGUUUGCAAAUCCAAGAAAGUGGUUUGUUACGCAGAAGCAUCAAAAGAUUUUGUUGAUUUACUUUUUAGUUUUCUCACCAUUCCACUUGGGUAUUUGAUGAAUGAAAAGCAUGGUGGACAAUCAAAAGGAUGCAUCCACCACCUAUAUGACAGUGUCAUUGAUCUCGAUGCACCGAAAUACCUGAAGUCAAAUGACAUUAAAGAGAUUCUUCUAAAUCCUAAGAUUGCACCUGGUUCUGGCUAUAAGAACCAGCC
rnacentral:lncRNA from 1 species